AUUGAACGCUGGCGGCAUGCUUUACACAUGCAAGUCGAACGGUAACAGGGAGCUUGCUCCGCUGACGAGUGGCGAACGGGUGAGUAAUGCGUCGGAACGUGCCGAGUAGUGGGGGAUAACGCAUCGAAAGGUGUGCUAAUACCGCAUACGUACUGAGGUAGAAAGUGGGGGACCUUCGGGCCUCACGCUAUUCGAGCGGCCGACGUCUGAUUAGCUAGUUGGUGAGGUAAAGGCUCACCAAGGCGACGAUCAGUAGCGGGUCUGAGAGGAUGAUCGGCCACACUGUGACUGGGACACGGCCCAGACUCCUACGGGAGGCAGAAGUGGGGAAUUUUGGACAAUGGGCGCAAGCCUGAUCCAGCCAUGCCGGGUGUCUGAAGAAGGCCUUCGGGUUGUAAAGGACUUUUGUCCGGGAGCAAAUGCCUGGUGUUAAUAGCACUGGGAGCUGAGAGUACCGGAAGAAUAAGCACCGGCUAACUACGUGCCAGCCGCCGCCGUAAAAC
rnacentral:rRNA from 1 species